GAUGAACGCUGGCGGCGUGCUUAACACAUGCAAGUCGAACGAUGAAGCCCAGCUUGCUGGGUGGAUUAGUGGCGAACGGGUGAGUAACACGUGAGUAACCUGCCCUUAACUCUGGGAUAAGCCUGGGAAACUGGGUCUAAUACCGGAUAGGAGCGCCUACCGCAUGGUGGGUGUUGGAAAGAUUUAUCGGUUUUGGAUGGACUCGCGGCCUAUCAGCUUGUUGGUGAGGUAAUGGCUCACCAAGGCGACGACGGGUAGCCGGCCUGAGAGGGUGACCGGCCACACUGGGACUGAGACACGGCCCAGACUCCUACGGGAGGCAGCAGUGGGGAAUAUUGCACAAUGGGCGAAAGCCUGAUACAGCGACGCCGCGUGAGGGAUGACGGCCUUCGGGUUGUAAACCUCUUUCAGUAGGGAAGAAGCGAAAGUGACGGUACCUGCAGAAGAAGCACCGGCUAACUACGUG
rnacentral:rRNA from 1 species